GUCAGCAGCCGUAUCACCCUGUAGCCCAAGACUGGUUGCCCACUGAAGCCAAGCAGGGUUGAGCCUGGCCAGUACCUUGAUGGGAGACCUCCUGGGAAAAACUAGGUUGCUGCUGGAA
rnacentral:rRNA from 1 species